GUGCUUGCUUUGGCAGCGCAUAUACUAAAAGUGAAAUGAUACAGAGAAGAUUAGCAUGACCUCUGUGCAAGGAUGACACGCAAAUUUGUGAAUUGUUCUAUAUUUUU